rnacentral:rRNA from 1 species
GUCGGGAGAGGAGCUUGCUUGAUUCGCGGCGGAGGGUGAUAAUGCCGAAUCUGCGGGGGGGACAAAAGCCUGAAAAGCGGACCUUCGGCCUUGCCUAUCAUGAGUCAUGUUGGGGAGCCGACGAUCCCGUGAAGGAUGGCUGACCAACGGGAGGCAGCAGUGGGGAAUAUUGGACAAUGGGCGAAAGCCUGAUCCAGCCAUGCCGCGUGUGUGAAGAAGGUCUUCGGAUUGUAAAGCACUUUAAGUUGGGAGGAAGGGCAGUAAGUAAUACCUUGCUGUUUUGACGUUACCGACAGAAUAAGCACCGGCUAACUCUGUGCCAGCAGCCGCGGUAAUACAGAGGGUGCAAGCGUUAAUCGGAAUUACUGGGCGUAAAGCGCGCGUAGGUGGUUUGUUAAGUUGGAUGUGAAAGCCCCGGGCUCAACCUGGGAACUGCAUCCAAAACUGGCAAGCUAGAGUACGGUAGAGGGUGGUGGAAUUUCCUGUGUAGCGGUGAAAUGCGUAGAUAUAGGAAGGAACACCAGUGGCGAAGCGACCACCUGGACUGAUACUGACACUGAGGUGCGAAAGCGUGGGGAGCAAACAGGAUUAGAUACCCUGGUAGUCCACGCCGUAAACGAUGUCAACUAGCCUUGGAAUCCUUGAGAUUUUAGUGGCGCACUACGCAUUAAGUUGACGCCGGGGAGUACGGCGCAAGGUAAAACUCAAAUGAAUUGACGGGGCCACACGGUGGACAGUGGUUUAAUUCGAACCCAACUUACCGCUGACUGCAAGAUUUCAAGAUUGGGCUUCGCUUGACUCAGUGUCGCAGCUCGUCGAUGGUAUCCCAGCCCUACCCCUUGGGUAAAAAGGGAUCACGA